GCCUCAUGGAUUCCAAGGAAUGGAAUCUUGGGCCAUGUGUGUGCCACAGGGAUCCCAUUUUCAGGACCAGUCAUCCUCCUUCUUCACACAUAGAAAGUAAAAGGGGUAAUUAUCCCCCAGGAACACUUUAAUUGUACCAAUUAACCUGACCACGUUUUGCAAUCAAAGCCAAGCAGAGAAGAGGAUUUAAAGUGAUCAAACACCAUUUUAUGGACUGGAGAGUCUCACUUCAUCACGCAGGCUAGAGUGCAGUGGCUCAGUCUCAGCUUACAACUUCUGCAUCCCGGAUUCAACCAUUCUUGUGCCUCAGUCUCCCAUUACAGGUUUACUCUUCAAGGGAAAGACUUUGCCAGAAGUUUAGUUCUUCUGUGAAAGCACAUUUACUUGACCCUAGCUACCUCUAGCCUUUCUGGCUUACCUACAGGGAGGAAAAAAAAAGGUAAAAAACAAUUGUGAAGGUCACAGUCCAGAAGAAACCAAAGCAGCUAAAAGAAGAGGAAGAGGGAACAUGAUGUUUAACCUACCCUUAGGCUUUCUUACAUAGUGAGAAGAAAGCAUCAAAAAAAAAAAAAA